AUUUGCAUCACAGGCCGCUCUCUCCAGUAAGAAGAUAAGAGAGGCCUGGGAGGAACCUGCCCAGUCUGAGCCUCGGGAAGCAGCCUUGGCGGUGCCUCAGCCAUGGCCUGGACCCUUCUCCUCCUCGGCCUCCUCGCUUACUGCACAGGCUCUGCGGCCUCCUAUGAUCUGACUCAGCCACGCUCAGUGUCCGUGUCCCCAGGACAGACGGCCAGGAUCACCUGUGGGGGAGACAACAUUGGAAGUAAAAAUGUGCAAUGGUACCAGCAGAAGCCAGCGCAGGCCCCUGUGCUGGUCAUCUAUGGAGAUAGCAACCGGCCCUCAGGGAUCCCUGAGCGAUUCUCUGGCUCCAACUCAGGGAACACCGCCACCCUGACCAUCAGCGGGGUCGAGGCCGGGGAUGAGGCCGACUACUACUGUCAGGUGUGGGACAGCAGCACUGCACACAGUGACACAGGCAGAUGGGGAAGUGAGACAAAAACACCCUCCCAGCCUCUGCCACCCUCUUGCUCCAGCCCUGGGAGGCCUAUGGAUAAAACCAUGAGUUUAUCUGGCCCAGUUCACCUGGAUCUGAGCCUUUCAGGCUGCCCUUCCCUCCAGCCCCCUCCAGGAGUCUCUACAGAGCAUACUUCAGGCAGAGACAUGGCCUGGAAAGACCAGAAUCAUCUGGUGACUGGAGCUGUUGUGUAA